CCCUUAGAUGUUCUGGGCUGCACGCGCGCUACACUGAUGCGUUCAACGAGCCUUCCUUGCUCGAGAGAGCUGGGUAAUCUUCAUGAAAACGCAUCGUGAUGGGGAUAGGCGCUUGUAAUUAUUCGCCUUGAACGAGGAAUUCCUAGUAAGCGCGAGUCAUCAGCUCGCGCUGAUUACGUCCCUGCCCUUUGUACACACCGCCCGUCGCUCCUACCGAUUGAGCGGUCCGGUGAGGCCCCCGGACUGUGGCAACGGCUCUGGUUCGCCAGACUGAUGCCGCGGGAAGCUGUCCAAACCUUAUCAUUUAGAGGAAGGAGAAGUCGUAACA
rnacentral:rRNA from 1 species